AUUGAACGCUGGCGGCAUGCUUUACACAUGCAAGUCGAACGGCAGCGCGGGCUUCGGCCUGGCGGCGAGUGGCGAACGGGUGAGUAAUACAUCGGAACGUGCCCAGUAGUGGGGGAUAGCUCGGCGAAAGCCGGAUUAAUACCGCAUACGACCUGAGGGUGAAAGCGGGGGAUCUUCGGACCUCGCGCUAUUUGAGCGGCCGAUGGCGGAUUAGCUAGUUGGUGGGGUAAAGGCCUACCAAGGCGACGAUCUGUAGCUGGUCUGAGAGGACGACCGGCCACACUGGGGCUGAGCCACGGCCCAGACUCCUACGGGAGGCAGCAGUGGGGAAUUUUGGACAAUGGGCGAAAGCCUGAUACAGCAAUGCCGCGUGUGUGAUGAAGGCCUUCGGGUUGUAAAGCACUUUUGGCGGGAACGAAAAGGACUGUGCCAAUACCAAGGUUCGAUGACGGUACCCGCAGAAUAAGCACCGGCUAACUACGUG
rnacentral:rRNA from 1 species